rnacentral:lncRNA from 1 species
CCACUGACUUUUUAUAUGGCAAUCACUCUGCACUUGGUUUUUUCAUGUGUAAAAUAUGUAUGGCAAGCACUGUUCCCACUUGCUGUGGUGACCAGUAAAAUAUAUCUAAAAGCACCUACAAAAAAAGUCUGACAGACAACAGGUAUAAUAAUAGGUGACUAUUACUAUUAUAUACUUUCCCACCUUAAGGCCUCUUUAUAUAAUGAUCAAUAUAUAUAUAUUUUUCUUUUUUUGGCUGCCCCACAGGAUAGGGAGUUCCUGGGCCAGGGAUCAGAUCCAACCCACAGUUGUGACCUACACCACAGCUGUGCCAAUGCCAGAUCCUUCAACCCACUGUACCAGCCAGGGAUCAAGCCUGCAUCUUGGCGCUACAGAGAUGGCGAUCAUCCCGCAGCACCCUAGAGAGAAGUCCUGAUUAAAUAUUUUUUAUCACCCUUCUGCUCAACCCUGAAAUGCUUGUCUUCCCUUCUCCACCUGUCAAAACGGGUGAGUCUUUCAAGUAACUAAGAUUAUUACCACAUUUUUAUACAUAAUCCACUGCAUUUUACACAUAUCCACUACAUACUUGCUGAUAAUAUUUUUUCCUAAUGGCCUUUUCAAUUUUUGUAAUUAUUUUGAGAUGGAACAUGUAUAAGCAGAUAAACAGACAAACCAUACCCUUUUCAAUAAGUAAUGUGAAACUUAAGAAUCUCAGAACCUAAAGGAAACUCAGAAAUGACUUGGACCAACCAUUACCAGAUAUGAGUUUCUUCUCUAACAUCCUGACAAAUUAUUAACUCGACCUCUGUUGGGUAUGUCUAGGAGGGCCACUAUUUCUAACGCUACCCCACGCCAUUCUGAAACGGUUCUAUCAAAGGCUCUUCUUUUGACUGAGCCCACAGCCCUCUCCCUAUAAUGGCUAAACAGGAAAGAAAUCUAAUUACACUUGUGUCCAAAGGUCUUUUUGGGAUUAUGGCAUUUGGGAGCCACCUUGACUCCUGGAUCCUCUUUUCCUAUUUCUUCCUCAAGUCCCCUCAUCAUUCUGGCUCUAACUCCUUUAAUGCUUUUAAGGUAAGAUUUUAAAUUAGUGAAAAAUAAGACUCCUGGAAUGUUACAGAGUAGUUACAUCCAUAUCAGUAAAACUGUUCUUGAAGAGAUGCUCAGCUUCUGCUAACACAACCUUAGUUUGGGGGGAAGGAGGCCAGCCCAAACAAGGCUAAUACAAAAUUGUUAACCCAAACUAAGUCCCCUAAAGCCAUUAAGCCUUUUCCCUUGCAAUAUGAGGAAAUCACUUCUUUAUUAUCUCCUCGGGUAUGAAGACUUUAUAUUUAUCCCAAUGACCUGUUUCAUUCUGCUGAGAUAAAUUUGAACUCUGAUACUAUCAACCAAAUGGUUAAUUUAUACCAAACCUCAACACUCUUCAAAUUUGAUCCUCCUAGCAAGGUGCUCAUUGAGAAAGUGAGUUAUAUACCAUGAUUGGGGCAGAGCCCUCCAGAAAGACACUGCAAGUUUUCACUGUUAUAUGGAUCCAUGUAAUUAAUGUCCAUCGACAGAUGAUUGGAUUCGGAAGAUGUGGUAUAUAUACACAAUGGAAUACUACUCAGCCAUAAAAAAGGAUGACAUAAUGCCAUUUGCAGCAACAUGGAUGGAACUAGAGAUUCUCAUCCUGAGUGAAAUGAGCCAGAAAGACAAAGACAAAUACCAUAUGAUAUCACUUAUAACUGGAAUCUAAUAUCCAGCACUAAUGAACAUCUCCUCAGAAAAGAAAAUCAUGGACUUGGAGAAGAGACUUGUGGCUGCCUGAUGGGAGGGGGAGAGAGUGGGAGGGAUCGGGAGCUUGGGCUUAUCAGACACAACUUAGAAUAGAUUUACAAGGAGAUCCUGCUGAAUAGCGCUGAGAACUAUGUCUAGAUACUCAUGUUGCAACAGAACAAAGGGUGGGGGAAAAAAUGUAAUUGUAAUGUAUACAUGUAAGGAUAACCUGACCCUCUUGCUGUACAGUGGGAAAAUAAAAAAAAAGAAAAAAGAAAAAAGAAAAAUGAAAACUAUGUAUAAUUGCCUAUAUGACACCUAUAAAAGAACACUAAACAAACUUCUGUGUCAUGAGCAUUUGUAAUAUUAGUUUAUCCAAGAAAGUUGAUCAAAGCUUAUCUCUGACCAUCCUUGCUCAAUACACCCCACCUAAGAUAAGUCGAUGAAAUAUUCCUUGAAAACACUAUAGAUUUUCAAAUACUCCAUAAUUAGAACCAAAGGAAGACUUAUGCCUUGCUUCAUUUAUCUGGAAAAAAAAUUUUAAUUUAAAAAAUGCUUAGAAAAGCUUUCUUUGUAAUAUUUUAGAUAUAUAAUAAUAUUUUAUAUCCUUAUCCAUUUUUAAACAAAUGCAGGGUUUUUCUGGUUUUGUUUGUUUGUUUGCUUUUUAGGGCCGCAGCCCCAGUUCCCAGUUCCCAGUUCCCAGGCUAGGGUGUUGAAUCAGAGCUGCAGCUGUGACUUGCCACAGCCACAGCAACACAGGAUCGGGGCCACCUACACCACAGCUCAUGGCAACACCAGAUCCCUAACCCACUGAGCGAGGCCAAGGAUCGAACCCUCAUCCUCAUGGAUACUAACUGGGUUUGUAACCACUGAGCCACAAAGGGGAACUCCUUUAAAAAAAUGUUUACUUACAAUGUUUUAACUUUCAAACCCGCACCCACACUUUCUAAAUAUCAUCAAGUUUCCUUCCAGAAAUCAAAAGGAGGCCUUAUACAUGAAAAUUCUGCACAGGCCAGAAUAUUUUGUGAAUAUUCACUGAAAGGGACACAAGGCAAGUAUAUAAGGAGAGUGGAAGUGCAAGAAAAAGUCAAAAAAUGUUUUCCUACUAUUUCUUUGAAUAUUUUACAUAACCCAUUUCUUCAUUUAAAAACAUGCAAUCCUCCUUAAUACUCCAUUUAAGAUAAGAAGUUACUCCAGAGCAACAAAAAGUACCUUUGUAAUUACCAACAUUCUUCUUUCGGAGCUAUUUCUCCCAAGGGAAACAGGGAAUAUUUACUUCAGGAUCCCGUUCAAAGAGGUUGUCGUCAUCACAAAUUCUGUUGCCUGCUUUACUAAAGAACCAGCUGCCAGGAGAUAGACAAAUGCUACUGCUCACUGGGUUCACGGCAGCCCAUGUCCUCUUUUUCACCAAAGAGAAAAAUUUUCAAUAGAGUUUUAAAGUCAAGAUAACUUUAGGAUUCAGGACAUUCCACGACUAGGACAUAGCCGAUAAUAGGAGUUUGGCUCUUAUCCUUCUCCCACUGAAGGAUGGGGAACACCUUUUGCCCCCAGUUAAACCACAGUAGAGAAAAACUAAGUAAGUCUUAUUUCCCUGGAGCGAAACUAAAAUAUUUAGUUUUUAGUUUGUCAAACUGUCAAAGGUGGGGACUUUAAGAAGAGGAGAAAAAUGCAGAUAAUUGAAUGAUUCGUCAUGGAUCUACUCAGGCAUGACUUUAAAUGUUUGCUAUUACUUAAGGUUAAAAAAAUUCCUGAGCCCCUAAUACCCUAAGCCUGUCCUAUUAUUUAUUUGUUACAAUAAAUUGCCAAGUUCCCAGAUAUAAUGAAUGUCUGAUCAGU